UCAAAGAGCUGCAGACAAAAUGUGUUGUUUAGUUUAAGAUUUGGUCAUCUGUGUUGUGUAUAUUGUUUUUAUGUUUAAUAUAUUUGUCAUUUCAAGUGGUUUUAUGUUAUUUUGAUCGUUGGUUUUAGUUAAAAGGGCUUCUUUUCAUUUACACUUCUGGCGGGAUUUGCGUUACAUUAGGCCCGUGGGGUUUUUGUUACAAUGUGUUAUUUAUGUUCCGUCUGUGUAGGGUGCAGAAGUGGAGGGAAAAGAACUUUAUUUUCAUUUUUUUUGUCCAUCAGGUAUGUGUUUUCCAUUUUUGUAAUCAUAAUACUUUUUCACGUCCACACUUUUUCACCAAUCGCUCCUUCCGCUUCUCUCCCCCACUCCGUUACUUAUGUUGGCCACUAGUCGGCAGUGUUGUGAAACAUUGUAAAUAUAAAAUCUGUGUUUUGUUUACCAUUAAAACAAGUACUUCCUCUCUUUGCCACACAACGUGGUUGGCAUUGACGAGGGGUGCAGAAGUGGAGGAAAAAGAACUUUAUUUUCAUUCUUUUGUCCAUCAGAAACCUAACAAAGACCGUUACAUCUGCAAAGCAUAAUUUGCGCAACUUGGUACUUUCAUUCCAUGUUCUACUGGAGACUGUGCAGUAUCUCCAUGAGGCCACCAGAGGAAGCGGAGAAAGUCAACAUGCUUAACUGAGACACGAACUUGAUGAAACAUGGCUUGGAUGUCUGCCAUUACUGCCACAGGUUAUUGCCGAAAUCGAAGGAGGACUCCAAUGAGAGACCUUGUAAGAUCAGGACCCUGCAAGAGCUGGCUGUUUAAAGAUGUUCCUUUAAGAUGUUCCAGCAGUUUACCUUUUCUUGGAUGAUGGACACCGUGAUGGGGGAUGUACCAAAGCUUUCCAUCACUUUGUCUCAUUUGGUCAUCAGGCUCUGGAGGCGCUGUUCUGCAACGUAGCGAUUAUUUGGCAUCAUGGGAUUUUUCCUGUCUGAAAGUAGGACAGACACUUCUACUGUCAGAUCCACCACGCAGUGGACCAUUAACGACCCAACCAAUCCUGGUCCUGACUGCAUAGGGUCCUUCAUCCUGGCUGUUUGUCAGCUCCCAAGGCUCCAUUACCUUUGGGGCAUCUGUACCUAUAAGUAUAUCGACGUCUUCAGAUAAAACCAUUGAUCCACAUCCUUUUGUCGUGGGACAUUUACUGCAUAGUCCUUUGAGUUAGGGGCCAUCCAUAAUUUUCAACAUUUUCACGAGUGUACAAACCGUACGAGGGGGGGAGGGGGUUAAGACAUCAACGUACGCUUUUUUGAAAACCAGAAAAUGUCGAUGUCUGUAUGUUUGAACCGCGGGACGCAGUCAAAUUUUAGCGUGAAUAGACUGGUCCCCUUUCGUCGUAUGCUAGCGCGAGAGCGUACCAGUCCACGCGAUACUCCACAUAGCUCUGCGUGCUUUGCAUUCCAACACAACAAUCAGACAAUGGCCGACCCCGGUGAUUUCGAUUACCUAUUUUCGUUCAUCAAAAAGAGAAUUACUGCCAUUCAUCGCUCACCGAGCAAUGCAUACGAACAAUACAUCAAUGUUUACUGCUUUAUGCGUUCGGAAAGAAAGCGGAAGGACGCUGUAGCGGCUGGCCAGGUGGCUUGGAAAGGUUCCAAAUCGAAGGAAUCGAGCAGGGCGGAUUUGUUCCGAUGUGCCGUUGCGAAAAUGGAGAAGAUCAAAACUAAACCGACCAUCCUGAAUCUAUUCGCCAGCUCUGUGUUUAUUUUCUAUAUUUGGGCAUGGACCUGGCUGUGAUUGCCAUUUUCUGAAUGACUCUGUGGUGGUGAAUUUGACUUUGUGGACGGUGCAGUAACAAUCAAUGUGAUUUUCACUUCCUGUGAUACACUGACUAGACUAUAGGUGUGAUUUUAAGCCUUUUCAAAACAGUUGUGGCAUCUUUAUUGCAUACUUCGCAUAGAGUUGAGUUCAAGGGUUGUGUCCAUCAUUUCAAAGAAGAUUUUAUCUCCUCAGGCUUUUGGAAACCAGGGGCAACCUGCUACUUGAGUAAUCAUGUGUGUAUACAAGAAGUAUUCCCUUGUUUAAAAAAUCCUGUGGAAAACGGUUGUUGCAUCAGGACUUUUCUACAUGUAUCAUUUGAUAGAAAGAACAAUACAAAAAGACCAAAUUUGUAAUACAUUUGUAUUUUCUUGAAAGAAAAAUACAAAAAAGAGGCAUUUGAUAUAAUUUUUUAUCUUGUUCGUGUUCAAUACAAUGUUGAUGGGCAGUGACUGAUUGACCAGAGUCCCAAAAUACAGCCAGAGAACACUAUUGGACAUUCGAAUUUCAUGGCUGUAUUGGGUCAGUUGGUCAUGGACCUAUCAACAUUUUUCAUUUGGGAUUGUACUCUUUUUAGGGGGGGAGGGGGGUUGCUCAAAAGAGUACUCUUUGUACUCAUGUGAAAAUGUUGAAAAUUAUGGAUGGCCCCUUAGAACAUCAGGUAACUCAGUGAAAUCAUUCCUAUCCAUACCAGACACUUCAAGUCCUGACAAAACCUGAGUAUUUACUAUCUUACUUUGGCCCAUUGUUGUCAGCAGAAUACUUGCUCUUUUACCUCUCAAGUUCAAUUUCCUUGCCAGAGUAUCUGUGCAAAAUGAGCCUGAGCUUCCUGGAUCCAAAAGAGCAUAUAUUUGCACACUUUUAUUUUUUUUCUGCCUCUUGACCUUGACUGCAACAAUAGAAAAGAAAGAAUGAUCUUCACAACCGGCCCCAAUAUGGCCACAGGUCUGAGACAGUUUAGCAGAAACCCUUGAGAGUUCACAGUAUUUGGAUUUUGUGGUGAGGAUGUGCCUAUAUCCUGUCGCUGUAUGUGAAGGACCCCCGGGUGCUUUUGGUGACAAACAUUACAAUCCAAACGACUCCUACAGUCUUUGCUUGUGUGGCCUGGCUUCAGGCAACCAAAACAAACACCCUUUUGUUUUAGAGAAUUCAUCUUAUCCUGGUGUGCUUUCACUUUAAACUCUGGGCACUUGUCCAAUGAAUGACUGCUGACAAUGCGCAAAAGGUACUUUGCCUUUAGUUAUUGUAUGUUGAGAUGCACCUCCAUCUUGUACUUCAGUGACAUUAGUGGCAAAACUGCUUUCCUUUUUCCUUUGUUUUGUGUGAUUAGCAUUGGAAGCCUUGGAGUCUUGAAUGUUACCCAAAAGUGGAUCAGAGACUAUUUUGACUUGUCUUUCAAUAAAGGUAACAAGAUCAGUGAAUACUGCUCUUUGACCACGUCGCUCUAGCAAAUCACAAGCAACAUUCCAUUCCAUUUUUCCCGUAAUUUGUAUGGAAGUUUAAGAAUGAUGUUCCUCAUGUUAGUCCUCAUAAGUCCAGCUCUUUCAUAUGCACAAUUUGUUCUGUCAGAUUUGAGCAUCCUCUAAGAAAAAGGGAGAAUGACUGUAGUUCUUUAACAUCCUCACUUUUAAAAGGUGUCCAGUUAAGAAUCGUUUCCAUAUAAGCAGGAAAAGUGCUGACAACUUUUCACUAGGUCUCUUGGCUGCCCCCUGGUGUAUUGUUCAAGGAAGUGCCAAUGAUCGUUCCAAUUAGCUCAGGGGUCUCAAACUCAAUUUACUUGGGGGCCACUGGAGCUAGGGUCUGGGCGAGACUGGGCCGCAUCAGGUUUUCCAAAUAAAAAAAUAAAAAAAACAAACGCAUUUAUUAAAAACAGAAAACUGAAUAAACUUAAAUAUAACUAAAGCUCUGAUAAAACAUUCCACUGUUCUCAAAUUUCUUACUUUUUAUUUUUCUACACAAAAUAAGAUGAAAAAUAAAUA